rnacentral:rRNA from 1 species
AUUGAACGCUGGCGGCAGGCCUAACACAUGCAAGUCGAGCGAGCGGCGGACGGGUGAGUAAUGUAUGGGGACUGCUCGAUAGAGGGGGAUAACUACUGGAAACGGUAGCUAAUACCGCAUACUAUCGGAUAACCCAUAUGGGAUUAGCUAGUAGGUGAGGUAAUGGCUCACCUAGGCGACGAUCCCUAGCUGGUCUGCGAGGAUGAUCAGCCACACUGGGACUGAGACACGGCCCAGAAGCCUACGGAGGCAGCAGUGGGGAAUAUUGCACGAUGGGCGAAAGCCUGAUGCAGCCAUGCCGCGUGUAUGAAGAAGGCCCUAGGGUUGUAAAGUACUUUCAGUCGGGAGGCGUUACCGACAGAAGAAGCACCGGCUAACUCCGUGCCAGCAGCCGCGGUAAUUC